GCACCCGUAGCUCAGCUGGAUAGAGCACCAGACUACGAAUCUGGGGUCGGGCGUUCGAAUCGCUCCGGGUGCACCA
rnacentral:tRNA from 1 species